rnacentral:rRNA from 1 species
AUGCCUAAUACAUGCAAGUCGAACGCGCCUAGCGAUAGGCGAGUGGCGGACGGGUGAGUAACGCGUGGGAACCUGCCCUUGAGUGCGGGAUAACCGAGGGAAACUUCGGCUAAUACCGCAUGCGCCCCGGGCAACUGGGGGAAAGAUUUAUCGCUCGAGGAGGGGCCCGCGUCGGAUUAGCUAGUUGGUGGGGUAAUGGCCUACCAAGGCGAUGAUCCGUAGCUGGUCUGAGAGGAUGAUCAGCCACACUGGGACUGAGACACGGCCCAG